rnacentral:rRNA from 1 species
AGAGUUUGAUCCUGGCUCAGGACGAACGCUGGCGGCGCGCCUAACACAUGCAAGUCGAACGGAGCUUAGAGAGCUUGCUUUUUAAGCUUAGUGGCGAACGGGUGAGUAACGCGUGAGUAACCUGCCCUAGAGUGGGGGACAACAGUUGGAAACGACUGCUAAUACCGCAUAAGCCCACGGUACCGCAUGGCACUGAGGGAAAAGGAUUUAUUCGCUUUAGGAUGGACUCGCGUCCAAUUAGCUAGUUGGUGAGGUAACGGCCCACCAAGGCGACGAUUGGUAGCCGGACUGAGAGGUUGAACGGCCACAUUGGGACUGAGACACGGCCCAGACUCCUACGGGAGGCAGCAGUGGGGGAUAUUGCACAAUGGGGGAAACCCUGAUGCAGCGACGCCGCGUGGAGGAAGAAGGUUUUCGGAUUGUAAACUCCUGUCGUUAGGGACGAUAAUGACGGUACCUAACAAGAAAGCACCGGCUAACUACGUGCCAGCAGCCGCGGUAAAACGUAGGGUGCAAGCGUUGUCCGGAAUUACUGGGUGUAAAGGGAGCGCAGGCGGGCAUGCAAGUUGGAAGUGAAAACUAUGGGCUCAACCCAUAGCCUGCUUUCAAAACUGCGUGUCUUGAGUAGUGCAGAGGUAGGCGGAAUUCCCGGUGUAGCGGUGGAAUGCGUAGAUAUCGGGAGGAACACCAGUGGCGAAGGCGGCCUACUGGGCACCAACUGACGCUGAGGCUCGAAAGCAUGGGUAGCAAACAGGAUUAGAUACCCUGGUAGUCCAUGCCGUAAACGAUGAUUACUAGGUGUUGGAGGAUUGACCCCUUCAGUGCCGCAGUUAACACAAUAAGUAAUCCACCUGGGGAGUACGACCGCAAGGUUGAAACUCAAAGGAAUUGACGGGGGCCCGCACAAGCAGUGGAUUAUGUGGUUUAAUUCGAAGCAACGCGAAGAACCUUACCAGGGCUUGACAUCCAACUAACGAAGUAGAGAUACAUUAGGUGCCCUUCGGGGAAAGUUGAGACAGGUGGUGCAUGGUUGUCGUCAGCUCGUGUCGUGAGAUGUUGGGUUAAGUCCCGCAACGAGCGCAACCCUUAUUGUUAGUUGCUACGCAAGAGCACUCUAGCGAGACUGCCGUUGACAAAACGGAGGAAGGUGGGGACGACGUCAAAUCAUCAUGCCCCUUAUGUCCUGGGCUACACACGUAAUACAAUGGCGCACACAGAGGGAAGCAAAACCGCGAGGUGGAGCAAAUCCCUAAAAGGCGUCUCAGUUCGGAUUGCAGUCUGCAACUCGACUGCAUGAAGUCGGAAUUGCUAGUAAUCGCGGAUCAGCAUGCCGCGGUGAAUACGUUCCCGGGCCUUGUACACACCGCCCGUCA